ACGGGGCAAGCGAUGGGAGGUUUCGGCGGCGAGCGGUAGCUGCGUGCGGCGUUGGCGCGGCCCCGUUUUCCGGCGGCGGGGUCGAGGCGGGCAGUGCUGAGGGAGGCUUCGUGGCUGGGGGUGGCCUCCUCGGCCGGCCGCCCCGCGGGAGGCUUCGCGGCGUGGUUGCGGGUAACCUCGACGACGUUGAUCACUAUGGAUAGCUCGACAAGUUCACCGAGCAGGCAUUUUUACCUCCGCCAUGUUGUGUUUCUCUCUCGUCCUGACCGACGGAGGCAGGGGUUCGGCCGCUCGGUGAUCUCGGUGUGCAUAGAGGAGGGCUGUGUGUCGCAGCGGCAGCCAACAGGAGAUGCAGCGGCUCGACCUCCUCUGUGACCUCAUCUCCAGUUGAAAUUGACAACGCUGCCUCCCAGAACUCGCGCCGGCUGGAAUCAAUUGCGGCCUAGGUAACUCAGCGCCACUAGAGCUUCAGGUGCCUCACAAGUCACAAGAAAUCAAAAGUUCUAUCAUCAAAUUUUAGUCGACGAGGUAAAUCCUGCUAGCCACGUGUGUCAUGGCGGCGGCGGCUGGCCGCCACCAUUCCCAUUUCAUCUUCGCUCUGCAAGGUAAUAGAAGGAGGGCUCUAAUGGGAAUGAUGCUUGCCACCCCCACCUUCAUGACUGCUCCAGAUCCAUUCAAGGCUUACAAGCUCAGCGGUUCGUAGAAAUCUGCACUUUUUAGUUAAGUGAUUCACAAUGGAUGAUUGAGAAUGAUAAAGCUAAGCCGGAUACAAGUGUGGAAGUACAAAGGCAGGAUGCUCUUGUUGUUGGUCCUGCAGUUACAAUUGUUGGCAUGUUUGUAAGAUGCAAAAUGAGAUCUCCGCCAUGAAUUUUUGAGACCUCCACCCUCGUCCCACCAGCGAAUUGGUGCAAUGGUGGGCUGGCAUGCCAAAAUUUUAGAGCCCGUCCAAACAAGAUGUGACACUUCAGUAGACUCCAAUAGUUCGGCUCAGAAGGUGAGGGAUUUAAUCUGAGCAGCCCUUAUGAACAUGACCAUCUUUGCCUGA